rnacentral:rRNA from 1 species
GCAAGUCGAGCGGUAGCACAGAGAGCUUGCUCUCGGGUGACGAGCGGCGGACGGGUGAGUAAUGUCUGGGAAACUGCCUGAUGGAGGGGGAUAACUACUGGAAACGGUAGCUAAUACCGCAUAACGUCGCAAGACCAAAGUGGGGGACCUUCGGGCCUCAUGCCAUCAGAUGUGCCCAGAUGGGAUUAGCUGGUAGGUGGGGUAACGGCUCACCUAGGCGACGAUCCCUAGCUGGUCUGAGAGGAUGACCAGCCACACUGGAACUGAGACACGGUCCAGACUCCUACGGGAGGCAGCAGUGGGGAAUAUUGCACAAUGGGCGCAAGCCUGAUGCAGCCAUGCCGCGUGUGUGAAGAAGGCCUUCGGGUUGUAAAGCACUUUCAGCGGGGAGGAAGGCGGUGAGGUUAAUAACCUCAUCGAUUGACGUUACCCGCAGAAGAAGCACCGGCUAACUCCGUGCCAGCAGCCGCGGUAAUACGGAGGGUGCAAGCGUUAAUCGGAAUUACUGGGCGUAAAGCGCACGCAGGCGGUCUGUCAAGUCGGAUGUGAAAUCCCCGGGCUCAACCUGGGAACUGCAUUCGAAACUGGCAGGCUAGAGUCUUGUAGAGGGGGGGUAGAAUUCCAGGUGUAGCGGUGAAAUGCGUAGAGAUCUGGAGGAAUACCGGUGGCGAAGGCGGCCCCCUGGACAAAGACUGACGCUCAGGUGCGAAAGCGUGGGGAGCAAACAGGAUUAGAUACCCUGGUAGUCCACGCUGUAAACGAUGUCGAUUUGGAGGUUGUGCCCUUGAGGCGUGGCUUCCGGAGCUAACGCGUUAAAUCGACCGCCUGGGGAGUACGGCCGCAAGGUUAAAACUCAAAUGAAUUGACGGGGGCCCGCACAAGCGGUGGAGCAUGUGGUUUAAUUCGAUGCAACGCGAAGAACCUUACCUGGUCUUGACAUCCACAGAACUUUCCAGAGAUGGAUUGGUGCCUUCGGGAACUGUGAGACAGGUGCUGCAUGGCUGUCGUCAGCUCGUGUUGUGAAAUGUUGGGUUAAGUCCCGCAACGAGCGCAACCCUUAUCCUUUGUUGCCAGCGGUUCGGCCGGGAACUCAAAGGAGACUGCCAGUGAUAAACUGGAGGAAGGUGGGGAUGACGUCAAGUCAUCAUGGCCCUUACGACCAGGGCUACACACGUGCUACAAUGGCAUAUACAAAGAGAAGCGACCUCGCGAGAGCAAGCGGACCUCAUAAAGUAUGUCGUAGUCCGGAUUGGAGUCUGCAACUCGACUCCAUGAAGUCGGAAUCGCUAGUAAUCGUAGAUCAGAAUGCUACGGUGAAUACGUUCCCGGGCCUUGUACACACCGCCCGUCACACCAUGGGAGUGGGUUGCAAAAGAAGUAGGUAGCUUAACCU